GUGUCAGCAGCCGCGGUAAUACGGAGGAUCCGAGCGUUAUCCGGAUUUAUUGGGUUUAAAGGGAGCGUAGGUGGACUGGUAAGUCAGUUGUGAAAGUUUGCGGCUCAACCGUAAAAUUGCAGUUGAUACUGUCAGUCUUGAGUACAGUAGAGGUGGGCGGAAUUCGUGGUGUAGCGGUGAAAUGCUUAGAUAUCACGAAGAACUCCGAUUGCGAAGGCAGCUCACUGGACUGCAACUGACACUGAUGCUCGAAAGUGUGGGUAUCAAACAGGAUUAGAUACCCUGGUAGUCCACACAGUAAACGAUGAAUACUCGCUGUUUGCGAUAUACAGUAAGCGGCCAAGCGAAAGCAUUAAGUAUUCCACCUGGGGAGUACGCCGGCAACGGUGAA
rnacentral:rRNA from 1 species